UUCAGUGACUUUUUACAGGCAGAACUGGCAUAUAUUUAUGGUGAUUUAUUUAAGUUCAGUCACGGGUAUUUGCUUUCAGUCUCAGCAGAAUGUCAGGUUUUUGUAUUUUUUUAUUUUUUUUUUUUGGUGUUGCUUGUAAUUAUCAGGGAUGAUGUCAAGUCAAGAAGCUUGUAUCACAUAAAGAAUUUUCAACGAGAACACCAAACUUAGAAGAGUUCCUGGAAGUUAAGUUUAUGUGGCUCUAAUGCUCAAUACACUCCUAUUCAAGGUACAAAACAUGCACUGAUUUCUUUAUGGACUCUGCAGAAACUGUAGGAUCUCAAAUCAGACCAUUUCUGAAACUGCUACAUGAACCACGUCUAUAAAAUCAGAUCAAGAGACAUUAAAGGUUCAGCGGUUCCAGCAGAGAAGCAGAUCCUACAGGGACCCUGAGCAGGGCUGCAGCUAAGUGCCAAGCCUUUGCCCAAAGGAUAGUGAAGUGUUCUUUUGAUCCAAUUUCUGCAUGAACUUAGAAGAAAAUGGACAUGUGAUUGACUUAGUGGGUUUCCUGUCAUCCACUGUGGGAUUCGCCUCCUUGUCUUUUCCUGAAUCUUUGAUGUAAAUAACAUAAGGUAGUUUAAAUCUCUGGUUUUACAAAUGGAUUUUGAAACUUGAUUUCUAAUGGCAAAAUGAAGCCACGUAGCAUGAAAAUAUGGAUCCAUUUCACAUACACAUUUUAAGAAAAUGAAAUGUUUCAUUUGUGCAAAUAGCAAUUUGGAGUACUUCACAUGAUUUUAAAUGCAUUUGUGUUUAAUUUUUUUAAUCUAUCAAUAAAAAAGUUGUUUGAAACAAGAGUAAGUCAAAGGAUCACAUCUAAAAGGGCAAAGUAAUUCUAACAGCCUAUCAGGAAGUCAAAUACAUGACAGAAAAUACAUGAAAGCAAACACAAAGCUGCAAUAUUAUCUGAGGAGUGAGUCAAGAAGUCAGACACUACCGCAAAAAUAUCCUCUGCUGUUUGGCAUUUUGGGAUCUCAUGGGUGCCAAUGAAAGACAAAAGGAUCCAGUGCAUAUUAUCAAACAAUGACCUCAAAUGACCCUACUAUUCUUGAGGACAGCUUCGUACUGAACAGCAAUGGUGUUAAAAAACCCCACAAGUAUCAUAUCUGUUAAAACAUGGAAAGCAUGUG